AAUAUCACCAGUAACAUAGCAGAUACCAGAGAGUUGUCUCAUUAGUGUGGAAGAUAAUCUAGAAAGGAACCCAUAUUUUUGUCACUGGUGUCGCUUUUUGUCGCUCAACGUUCCGUCCACCUCGUUAUAGAUAAGCGUAGCGGUGACUUGUGUGCUCUUAUCUGGUGUUACCGUUGACGCCAGUGUAGUUGUCAGUAGUGUACUGUUAACAGUUCUCGUGUGUUACCGUUGACGCCAGUGCAGUUUGUUCAUGGUGUCCCGGAGGUACUGACCAUUGAGUGACCACAAGGCCUUGUCCUGUGUGUGACACUUGGUCACAUUCACAGUGUGUCCUGGUGUGAUGUGAUACGUGAUUAAAGACAAACUUUCCUCAACAACUCUCCAGCCUACAGCUUUUGGUCAACCCGCGAGCGUUAAGCUUUUGUUAAAGCAAGCAGCAAAAAGCGCUCGGUUAAAGAGGGAGUUUAGAGCUGGUGGCACUUCAGACAUCCUCAGGUUAUCAUCGUCUACCAAAAAGAGUGAAGAACAUUGCUAGGAGCAAGAACAGUAUCUGACGAAGACACCAGCUGUAGCAAGAUCAGCAGCCAGAGGAGUACCUGAGAACAGCAGCAGCAGCGUCAGAGGAAGAAGCUACACACCCAUAAGUACUCUACAGCAGCAGCAGUUGUGGCGAGAGCCAAUGAUGAGUCAACACCACAAUGGCCACAGAAAAUCACACAACAAGAAAGUCACGAUUAACAGGGCGAGGAAGAGGCAGAGUUUGGUGACAACAUCUGCAGUGUUGCUGCUGUUUAUUGUGAUGGCUGCUACGGCCUACAAGUCUCCAGCUUAUCCAGCUGUUAGAGGUAUGUAUUAUCAUGCUAUGAAUGAGGCUGUUCUCCAAAAUUUUAAAUAGCAAAGGUUCAUUAACAUAGGCGAAUUUGCACACCAGAGGAGAACAGAUUAC